AUGCAAGUCGAGCGGGGGAAGGUAGCUUGCUACUGGACCUAGCGGCGGACGGGUGAGUAAUGCUUAGGAAUCUGCCUAUUAGUGGGGGACAACAUCUCGAAAGGGAUGCUAAUACCGCAUACGUCCUACGGGAGAAAGCAGGGGAUCUUCGGACCUUGCGCUAAUAGAUGAGCCUAAGUCGGAUUAGCUAGUUGGUGGGGUAAAGGCCUACCAAGGCGACGAUCUGUAGCGGGUCUGAGAGGAUGAUCCGCCACACUGGGACUGAGACACGGCCCAGACUCCUACGGGAGGCAGCAGUGGGGAAUAUUGGACAAUGGGGGGAACCCUGAUCCAGCCAUGCCGCGUGUGUGAAGAAGGCCUUAUGGUUGUAAAGCACUUUAAGCGAGGAGGAGGCUACUUUAGUUAAUACCUAGAGAUAGUGGACGUUACUCGCAGAAUAAGCACCGGCUAACUCUGUGCCAGCAGCCGCGGUAAUACAGAGGGUGCGAGCGCUAAUCGGAUUUACUGGGCGUAAAGCGUGCGUAGGCGGCUUAUUAAGUCGGAUGUGAAAUCCCCGAGCUUAACUUGGGAAUUGCAUUCGAUACUGGUGAGCUAGAGUAUGGGAGAGGAUGGUAGAAUUCCAGGUGUAGCGGUGAAAUGCGUAGAGAUCU
rnacentral:rRNA from 1 species